UUUUGCAAUGAUUACCACCAAGGAACUAAGAACAACAUUUUAACACCUGCCUCAGGGCACUUCUGCACCUAGCUAUCCAUCUCUCCAGUGGCCCACAAAGCCUGGGCUGGAUGCCAAGCGGCUUCUGAGUCCUGCCUCCUUCCCAGCGCUGGCCCACUGCAACAAAAAGGACCCCAGAGGAAAGAUCAAAGAGGUAGAGUUCAGUCUGUAGAUGGACACAAUCACUGCCCAAGCUGAAGUGAAGCAUCUCCUGUCAACUUCUGGAAGUCUCAUGAUGCUCCUCUGACAGUGGAGCCACAGUUGCAUAUCCUGCACACUCCUUCAGCUGGGGAUUCCUGUGGGAUAUCCAGGGUGCUGGCAACUGCAUUUUGGGGAGGAAUUUAUUCCACUGUGAUGCAGAUAGAUGACUGCACAGGAUGCCGAAUAACGAACUGGAAGGAGAUUCCCUCAACAAUGGCUUCUUUUUGCUUAUCUACCCGCCACUGAAAAACAAUUUAUUUUUCCUGACAAUAUUUCCAUUCAUUCAUGUUUAGGUCCUUUUGCUUUCCUCAAAGCACUGGCAUUGGAAGGAUUUGAAAGAAAAAAUAGAAGCUGGGAUUAGAGCCAGACUGAGGAAAAACGAUGCAGUCUGUCAGCAAGCCCUCAGCAGGUGGAAGUGGUAACAGAGCCAAGAAAGAGCUAUUCUUUGUUGAAGUAAUUGAGGGCAGCAAGUACAACAGCCCAGGAAUGUUCAAAUGCUAACAAGAAUGCAUCAGGAAUGCAUAGAACAUAUAAGAAUUCACAGAAAUGUGUGGGUGUCUUGGUGCCUGCAGUUACAGUGAGAAGGUCCAGUGACGGCGCAGGAGAGGAGGACAGUUGCCAGUCGGAGGUUGCGAGAACAACCUACCUCUGCCCCUCAGCUCUGAAGGGAGUUGUACUGGAUCUACAUGAAGGCCCCACAGUCAGCUUGGCUGUAGUUUUGGAUUGGAUUUCCUCUCUGCAGCUGCUCCACGCUCCACUUGCACGAAGUCCAAACAUCUGGGUUUAAUGUGAGCAGAGUGGAUUUCAAGCUUAAUUCUUCUCUUUGUCUCUCUGUGUCUGAGUAUGUGUGUGUGUGAAAUAAUCUUUCUAGAAUACUUUAUUGCUUUCCUAAAUCUUUCAUUAAUUUUGUAUCCUUACAAUUUAUUGUGAUAAGAGGUGCACAAUCAGUAAAGAGCCUUGUAUCCUGCUCUGCUUUCAGAACAUACAAUUAUUUGCAUUGUCCAGAAAACAGAUGGAUGUUCCUAACUGAAAUAGUGUCAAUCAUUAAUAUUUUUUUUUACAACUUGUUCUAACGUAGGUGCUUCAGGUGCAGAAAUCCCGCCUGAUGACAUUUUUUUUCCCUCCAAAAAAGGAUUAAGUAGGAAAAAAAAUCAUUUAUAGCACCAUAAAGACUGAUUUUUUAACUCUGCCUCUUGGCAGUGUUAUAUCUCCCCCUCCAUUUAUGAUGUUCUAUGUUUUAUAUAGAUUGGGCACAAUAUUAAACCUCACGAGAGAGAAUGGAAGAAAAAAAUCAGGGAGUAAAUAGCUGGUUUGCUUAUCAUGCCUCCCAGUUUGAUUUUGGUAGGUUCCGGAGAACACAGGUGGAGGAUACCGAAUUAUAGCAAAUAAAAGACUUAAACAUAACAAAGCUACCUGAGGGUUUGGCUGAAGUCCCUGUGCAAACUGUGAUUAACUGAAUACCUGCCCUGGAAUGCUGGUUUGGCAAGAAGUUAUACACACAUGAAUGAAUCUGUCUGCAUACUUAGACACUGCAGUUAAACUUCUUUCGCAUAAAAAAAAAGGUGCUAUUUCCAACGUUUUUGAAUAUCGUUUGAGUCUGUCUGUUUUGAUUUAAGCUCCUCAUCCUCAGAAGAAAAGUAAGGUGACAAGUGCCCUCCAUGUGUAAGAAAGAGAGAGUAGGAAAAAGGGAAGCAGCAGCCAAGGACAUGUUUGGGUGCAUGAAGACAGCUAGGCAGGCUUUCUUCCCAGAAGUCAGUGUUCCUCUGGGAAAUGGAGACUGAUAUUCCCGGUGUGAAGUGAUGAAGGUCUAUUGAUGUAAAUUUACCUGAGCUUAUAUCCCAAAAGCUACAGGACCGACAGUGAAGAACUGGUCUUAUGUUAGUGGUACUUAACACAUAAUACACUGAAUAUACUUAAAAGACAUACAGUGGAUUAAACAAAAAACCAGAAUUUUCAGAAAAGCCUAAGGGAGCUGAAAGUCAGUGUUUUGCGAGCACUUGAGGGAUUGCCUAAGUGGGAAGACGGACCAGCAUACUGGUAAAAGGUCGUUUCUACUGUAUUCAACUGGUGCAGACACACCCUUACUUACACUCACAGCUCCCUUUAAAAUGCUAACUAUAAAUUACACUUGUAACUUAUUUUAAUGUCAAUUAAUCCAGUCUUGAGAUGGCUAGACAAUGAUUAUGUGUUAGUGUCUGUUAGACUGGUUUCUAUAUGAUACAAAGCUGUGUAUUAUUUUGGGGGGCAUGGUAUAGUCAGAGGGGAAAAGUCAUAGCUUGCUAUCAAAGAGCUUACCCACUGAGUAUAUUUCCUGUCUUUUUGCUUUAUUUUUUGCUUCUUUCCAUGUAUUUUCCAUACAUUAUUAAUAAUUUGGAUGCAAGACAUUAACCCUACAUCUACAGGUACCAAUGGCUUCUUCUGACACCACCGACUCAUUGUGCCAGAAGCCACAGAUACCCAGCAAUUCCUAACUUGUCUUCAUAGAGCAGAAGAGGUACAGCAAUGUCCAUUUGAAAUAGAAGCAGAAGACAACACUGAUCUAUAAAAGACUGAAAAAAAAGGACCCCUUGGAUGGCAUUCUUUGCUCUUAAAUAGAAUUAAAUAAAUUUAAAGAUGUUAAUUGUUGUUAGUAAACUGUCACACUGAUUUCUGUAAAGCAGCAGGGCAGUGAAAUUCACUAAGCAUUUAUGUAAUUACUUUGUGAUAUUGACACAGAAAAAGCACAAUAAAAAUCUCUUUUUUUGCAUUUUGUGUGGGA